AUCUUGGAACGGUCCGCCUUGAAAUCCAUCAUCAUCGUCACAGCCCUCCCUGCUUGAAAUAAUUCCGAAAUCAUGCUUAACAGACGACACAUUGUUAAUUGGUAUGUUCUAUUAGUUGGUGCAUGUGUAAACGGGCAAGUGCUUGACACAAAACUGAACGAAAGAGCAUAUGUGAUCCUCCUGAAACAGAAUGUAGUUCUACUCGUGAGUGUCUUCUCCGUCCUGUUGGUGGUCAUCAUCCUGAUGGCGGUAUGUGUUUACAAGCCAUUGAAUCGACGAUGAGAAACAGCUGAGUUUGGUCUCAAUCAAGAGGACUUCAGUCCUGGGGACUUAAGUUGCCUCGUUCUUCCACUAAGGUCUCGCAACUGGUCAGGGAGAUCCACGCAUAAACGAAACACCCGAAAGACAUGAAAUGCCUUCAAGUCUUGACCCUUUUAAAUGGCAGUUCUGACGGUUAUUUUCUUGUAGAUGAAAGCUUGUCUAUCAGCGAUUAUAUACAAUUUUACAAUACAAUCAGUUUAGUUCAAGUAACCAAUACUGUAGUUUAAAAUGUUCUUCAUUGUUUUAUGUUUUUUGUAUUUGUGAUAUUAUUUAUUUUUUAAAUGCAUCAUAGAUUUAUUGAAUUAUUGUUUACCUUGAUAAAACAUUGAUGAUGUGAUUGAUUAAAACCCAACAUGGUAAUA